rnacentral:rRNA from 1 species
GACGAACGCUGGCGGCAGGCCUAACACAUGCAAGUCGAGCGAGCGGCGGACGGGUGAGUAAUGCCUGGGAAUUGCCCAGUCGAGGGGGAUAACAGUUGGAAACGACUGCUAAUACCGCAUACGCAUGGCUUGCCCAGGUGGGAUUAGCUAGUUGGUCAGGUAAUGGCUCAACAGGGCGACGAUCCCUAGCUGGUCUGAGAGGAUGUUCAGGCCCUCUGUAAAUGAGACACUGUCCAGACUCCUACGGGCGGUAUCCGUGGGGAAUAUUUCACAAUGGGCGAAACCCUGCUGCAUCCAUGCCGCUUGUGUGAAGAAGGCCUUCGGUUUGUAAAGCACUUUCAGCGAGUAGGCGUUACUCGCAGAAGAAGCACCGGCUAACUCCGUGCCAGCAGCCGCGGUAAUUC